GCCACUGCCCACCAGGCACUGCCCAGCUACCCUGCCCCUGCCCAGCCACCAUGCCCCUGCCCACUGGCCUUGCCUCUGCCCACUGGCCCUGCUCAGCCACCCUGCCCCUGCCCACUGGCCCUGCCCACCCAACAGCUGCCCUCCCUGCUCAGCCCUGCCUCUGCCCCUGCCCACCCGGCUGGGACCUGCCUGCUGAGGCCGUGCCAGGUCGUGGAGAAAACAGACUUGCCUGGGCAGCGCUGCAGGGUGAGGGCACUCAGUCCUGCCAGGCCGGGGGCCGGGGCCCCCUCGCUCCCCUCUGCUGAAGGUUCGGCUUGAUCCGGCCCCUCUGGAGGGCCGUUUACCGUGUCGUGUCUUUAAAACUGAAAAUGCGACUACCCCACCUCCGGGAUUCUACGCCAGGCGCAUCUCCGAGGACCACUCGCCAGAACGUGCACGGGAGGGCAUUUGGCGCCGCUGGUUUGCAGUUUCAAUGCCCGCCAGCCGGGAAAGGAGUACAGGAGAUGAGGCUGGAGCUUCCAGACUCCUCGGCUGCCCCUGAGACCCCCAGAGAGCCGUUGCCUGCAGGCAGUUUCAGCCCCAUUUCGCAGCCCGCCGGUCUCCUAAACGGCCACCUGACCACGGCCUGGCCGAAGCGCGCGGUCCUGGCGCUCUGGAAGAGCCCUCCCGGUCACCCCCCCCCCGGGGGCUUGGCAGGUGAGGGAGAAGCCCCCACCCCGGUCCCCCUUCCAGGAGGAGGGGUCUCACCCCUUGCGGGUCACCCGCACCCAGCCCUGCGCAGCCCGCCCGCUCGGCCGCGGCUCCCUGUUUGGGGAAGCGCUCGGCUGUGUUCUCACUCGGGCGGUUUCCUGAUCCAUGCCACUUUUCCCGGGUGAGAGGCCAGCUGGUGGGGGCGACAGCGGGCGCCACGGAGGGGUCCCGUCCGCGGCCUGGGCAGGGGGCAGGGAGGGGAAGGGCCUGGCACAGCGGCCACCCUGGCUUUCCUGCACACGCCGGAAACGAGCGCAGAGGGGGCAACCCUGCCCCCUGGAGCCGGCCCCGCAGCCCCCGUCCAGCCCACCCUGCCGGGGUGAGUCCCCCAUGCCCAGCUA
rnacentral:lncRNA from 1 species